CGCCCCCACCUCGCGGCACCAUCCCCAGCCUCGGCCUCCUCAUCCUCCAGAACGGAAGAAACCCCCCGAAGACCGGCCUCCCGCCACCCCGAGGCAUCGGCGGUCGCCGCGGCAUCCCCAUCGGCCUCGGCCCCCCACCCCCCAUCGGCCGGUACCCCAAUUCGAACCCCUUAACCUCAACACACGAGCUAGUGCCCCUGCCCCUACCUUAACCUUACCUUGUCCACCCUUCCCCCGCUUCGUCUUGCACCAAACCAAACCGCUGCGCCUCCCCUC
rnacentral:rRNA from 1 species